AGGUCAUCUUUUCUAUCAAUGAUGUCUUAUACUAAGAUGAAAAGACCACUUUGUUAUUUGAUUAUUGUUCAUGUGUUGAUAACUUUUUUCAAAUAAAAAAUUUGAAAUAUCAUCAAGAAUGAUUUUUACUUAUAUUAAUAUCACCAAAUAUCAAAAGUCUUUUUCAAAGUUGUGAUACGAGAUGCAUUAUAUCUUGCUAGCUAUUUAAAAAAAUAUUGUUCUUAAAUAGCUCUCAUAUACAUUCACUAAUAUUAUAUCCAUAUUAAAGUAUAAGAUAUUUUGGUGUUUCCUUAAAUUUAAGACUUCUUCAAUUUCAAAUUCUUGAUUGUUAUCUACUUUUAUAAGAAAAGGUUGUAUU
rnacentral:lncRNA from 1 species